GACGAACGCUGGCGGCGUGCUUAACACAUGCAAGUCGAACGGAAAGGCCCCUUUGGGGGUCCUCGAGUGGCGAACGGGUGAGUAACACGUGAGUAACCUGCCCUUGACUUCGGGAUAACUUCAGGAAACUGGGGCUAAUACCGGAUAGGAAUCCUUGCUGCAUGGUGGGGGUUGGAAAGCUUCGGCGGUUUUGGAUGGACUCGCGGCUUAUCAGCUUGUUGGUGGGGUAGUGGCUUACCAAGGCUUUGACGGGUAGCCGGCCUGAGAGGGCGACCGGCCACAUUGGGACUGAGAUACGGCCCAGACUCCUACGGGAGGCAGCAGUGGUGAAUAUUGCACAAUGGGCGGAAGCCUGAUGCAGCAACGCCGCGUGCGGGAUGACGGCCUUCGGGUUGUAAACCGCUUUCAGCAGGGGCGAAGCUUGUGGUGACGGUACCUGCAGAAGAAGCACCGGCUAACUACGUG
rnacentral:rRNA from 1 species